GACAAAUAAAGGAUUUGGAGACAUAUAGUUGAUGAAUUUAAUUCUUAGAAACUUAAUAAUGUCUAAUUCACAUACACUUAUUUCAUUCAGUGGAUUAUACUUAUAUUUUCCAAACUGAAAUAUACGAUGCACCACAUACAAGCAACUAGGAAGUCGAUCAAAUAUCCUGACAAUUUUUCAGACGUUGACUUUCAUGAAGAUAAUUCUACCGACUUCGAUGAAGCCAUACAAUAUUGGAGCGAAUUAUGAAACUUAAGGGCAAUACAAUUUUGCUGAGCAAGAACCCAAUUUAAAUAACACAGAUGAGGGCCUCAACAUAUCUAAAUUGCAAAGAAACACGUAACUAGUUUGAUCUUUUUUGUAAGGAACGUAUAUAUAGUUGGAUGACAGAGUUUACACACAUAUUUUGCAUGUGUCUUGUUCUAAUCAAUUGUAUCAAAAACCACAUUCAGCUGUUAUCACACCUAUCAUUUGUGAUAUUGUAACUAUUGUACUAGAUUUUUUGUCAAACCUGGCUUUACCUGUCAGAGUGGUUGGCAUGAGCAUAUAAUGAUAUAUGAUAAAGAAGAUGUUGCUGAUAAAGAUGUGGCUUUUAAAAAAAAUCGAGGUGUCCUACAUGCAUACAAAAUUUACUGGUCGUCAAACCUGUUCCCAUUCAUGGAACUUACUUUUCAACAAGGAAAGACAAAACCUAACUUCUUUGGAAGAAGAGUAAGUGAACACC